GGAAUAUGGAACUUCUGUGGUAAAAGAGAGAAAGAGAGAUGAUGUUAUGCACCAGAUGGAAACGGUGUGGCCCUGGAGUUGUGGCUUUCUCUGUGUCAACACUGUGGUCUGGGUUUUUAGAGAAGGACAAAUGCUACCCAGUGAGAAAUUCAAGAAAUGAAACCAGGAAGGUUUUCAGAUAACAUUUCCCAGAGUAAGUUAGAGGAAUCUUGCCUGUCGUGAUCACACUGUUCCCCACUGCCCCAGGUCAGCGCAUACUUGACCCAGGGUGGGCUCUCAGGUGGGUGAAAGCUAGCUGGGGACUCCUGACCCGGUCACCUGCAAGAGGCGGACUUUGAAGAAAACUGUGAUCCAGUUGAGCCACUUUGUCCCUGAAGGGAAUGCUGCUUUGCAGCUUUCUGUAACUUCUCACAUGGGAAUUGUACUGGUGGCAGAUAAGGUGUAACAGAUGUACUUUCUUUAUCUUCAGAAUAAGACAGUCAGGGUGAAUUCUAUAUGACAAGUAUUACUGAGUCAGGCCCCUCCCGCUGACCCAUUAUUUCCAGCACUGAUCAAGAAAAAUGAAUUCCAGCCCCAGGGCGAGGGUGGUGGCAUGGGGGUCUGGUGCUCCAGGCUACACCAUGAGCCCAGGCAUUCUGCAGCCUGCACCCUGCUGGUGAGAUCAUGAGCAGUGUUCUGGGGUAUAAUGUAUUUCUUUUUCAUUACUGUAUUAAUUCCUUUUAGAUAUGAUCAUCCUUCAGAACUUCAUGCGCAAACUGUAACUAGGAUGUUAAUAAUCCUCUCAUUCAGUGCCCUGAACUUCCUGUGUCUACACCUAGAGAGAGGGCCAGUAAGGGCAACUCCUAUCAUGCAUUAAUAUGCAUGUACUUAAAUCUGCUUGCCCCGAGCCAGUACCCAGGGGCCAAGGAUCAAGACCUGUCAGUACACCAAGACCCCGGCCUAGUCACCCUGGCAGGGUUUUAUCUACUCAGAGAGAGAACGCUUUGCACUAAUUGGGAGAAAAGCAGCUAAAUUAGAGGACCUCCAAAAGCGUGGCCUCAGUCAUGCCUUCAUAGGGCAAGGUCAGGCCAGCUCAGAAAAAUGGAUGGUCCCAUGAAGUCAGGUGGAGCACACAUAGAAGGCAGUCCUCUCUCCCUCCCUCCCAUGUUCUUUUGCUGUCCCUGGAGUGCACAGAAAGGGCCCUUCAGUCCUCAUGAACGGUUACUCUACUCUGCAGCUGCUGAUCACCCUCCCAGGACCCUGUACCUACCCCGUGCCCACUUGAUCCCAGACUCAAGCAUCAUCCUCAUUCUACCUGCCUCAGAAUUUUGAUAGAUAAGUGGGUUGCAAGUGAGAAUGUGGCUUUCCAGGACCCACUCCAGGCCUUCAAGGUCUGUGUCUCCCGGGAGGAGGGCUCUGAGAUUGGCUUUUCCGGCAAGCCCACAUGGCUGUGAUGCCAGCAAGGUUGGCAUGCCCCAUUGUCUUCCUUAGUGACAAGCCCAGGACCAGUCGUGCUCAUGUCCACCGUGCCUGUUCUCUGCUCCAGGAACACAGCUGCUGUUUCACAAGCAGCCCUGUGACUUCCGUAGCCUCUGGGAGCAGGACCCCUAGGAUUAUGCUCUCAGGUUGAGAGAGGCUCUGUGUCUGAAGGAAGCGUUCACUGUUUCAUCUCUCCACUGCUGUUUGCCUAGUACUACUGUCAGGGCCAGCUCCUCUUGAAAGACAGCCAGCUGGGAAGGCAGCCCAGGGCUUCUUCCUAUGUCCUGCUUCCCUGUGUGUAGGGAGAGUCAUGCUCAUGGCUGCGUGUUCUCCCAGGACUGGCACCUGCCACCUGGGCUGUCUGUACUUUGACGGCUGGGCCUCUGCCGUUCUGUGCCUCUGGCGCCUCCUGAAGCUCAGCUGGCCAGACCUCUGGCAUUUCCCCUGCUAGACCCUCUAGAGCCACAACUGUUGCCUCAGGGAGUUUGCGUACCUGUGGACCAGCCUGCUUCACUUUGGAUUUGAGGAGCAGAAAUCACACUUUUGUCUUUAAAUACUACUUAAAAUAUAGUGAGGCUACUUAUCCAUGGAAACAAGUCUCUGAGGCACAACCUUUAUGAAAGGAAGGAAUAUCGCUGACUUGCUGUGCUCCUCUGGCCACGCGUGAAUGUUGAGCACUUCAGAUUUGGCUUGGGGUCUCUCAGUGAGAAGCUGCUGCUGUGCUGUUUAAUGCUGACCUGACUGCAACUCCUGGAGGCGCUAUGCUGCCCUGUUCCCAGCCACUUCCCAACCUGAUUCAAGCAGGGCCCCUCCUUCCUCCUGUCUUUAUUUAUUCAUUCCAGAGACAAGGUCUCAGUCUCUCCUCUCACCCAGGCUAGAGGGCAGUGGGUAUCAUCAUAGUUCACUGUAGCCUCAAAAUCCUGGGCUCAAGUGAUCCUCCCACCUCAGUCUCCUGAGUAGCUGGGACCACAGGUGUGUGCUGCCUCACCCAGCUACUUUCUAAUUUUUUUGUAAAGACUGUAUCUCACUAUGUUACCUUGAACUCCUGAGCUCAAGUGAUCCUCCUGCCUCAGCCUCCCGAAGUGCUGUGAUUCCAGACCAGCCAUUUUUUUUCUUUAAUCAUGCGUUCCUGUUGCUAGUUUCAUAUCAGUCCCCUGGUUUGAAAAGAAAUACAAUGUUUUCUUCAUAUUUUUGUAAAGACCUUUCUUCUUGCAUACCCCUUCUCCCUCCAAAAGGGACAAAUAUUCUUCAAUUUCAUAAGGAGGGUGGGUAAGUCACUUGAGGAUGUGAACUUCUGGUAUUCCUCAGCUAGAAUGUUUCUCCCUCCAUUGACGCCAUAGCUGGGACUGGGAUUCUUGACUUUGGAAGAGGGGCAGUGUCCUGGCCUGUGCCAAUGAGCCUCCUAUGUCUAGAACUAAAAGGCCUGGUGUCUCCUUUGCUCCUCUCCCUGUCCUGCUGUGUUUCUCAGUUUGUGGGAUUUUUCUCUCCUAUCUUCUCUGUCUGGCCUGAUCUUUGUUUUGUUCAUUUUGUUUUGUUUUGUUUUAAUUUAUUUAUUUAUUUUUUGAGAUGGAGUCUUGCUCUGUCACCAGGCUAGAGUGCUGUGGUGCGAUAUCGGCUCACUGCAAUCUCUGCCUCCCAGCUUCAAGCAAUUCCCCUGCCUCAGCCUCCUGAGAAGCUGAGACUACAGGUACGGACCAGCACACCCAGCUAAUGUUUUGUAUUUUUAAUAGAGACGGGGUUUCACCAUGUUGGUCAGGAUGGUCUCGAUCUCCUGACCUUGUGAUCCACCCGCCUCAGCUUCCCAGAGUGCUGGGAUUACAGGCGUGAGCCACUGCACCCGGCCUGUUUUAUUCGUUUUUGUUUUUGUGUUUUGUUAAACAGCCAUUCCUUGAGAAGUCAGGACUAGUUUCAGUGCAGAGUAGGGCAAGUGUGUGAUUUCAGGGGUCUAGGACAGCCCCUUCGCUCUAAUAUUGUCCUCAAUCAGGUGAUAGAAUUUCCUUUCACCUGGUUCAAAGGCUGUUAUUCCAGAAUUAGUGAGGAUACUGGAAAUUCCAAUCCCAGAGUGGACUCAAUAACUCAAUCACACUAAGAUGUAAAAUAACCCCAUCAAGAUUUAUUUCCCUUUUGUUCUCUGGUGGGAGGAAAAAAACAAAAAAAGAAUUACAUCCCAGGCCAGGCGCGGUGGCUCACGCCUAUCAUCUUGACACUUUGGGAGGCUGAAGUGGGAGGAUCGCUUGAGCCCAGGAUUUUAAGACCAACCUAGGCGACACAGGGAGACCCCAUCUCUACAAAAAAUGUUAAAAUUAGCUGGUCAUGGUGGCAGACACUUGCAGUUCCCACAUGGGAGGCUGAGGUGCAAAGGAUUGCUUAAGCCUAGGAUUUUGAGGCUGCAGUGAGCAUGUUCACACCACUGCUCUCCAACCUGGGCAACAGAGCAAGACCCUGUCUCUAAAAAAAAAAAUUAUUUCCUGAGCAGCUUUUGAUGUUGAGGAAGAGGUAGGCAGGAGUGGGAGCAUCUAGAACCUGGAUGAGGAGGGACUCAGGUGAGAGGCUGGGCAGGCCUAGAAGGUAGGUGCUGUGAGUGCUGCUGUGUGGCCUCUGGGAUAGAUGGAGUUCAGUUCCCAGCAGGAAGUCAGGGGCAGCAUGAUCCCUGGCCUAGUCUUGGAAGAGCCAUGGCUGAAAAGGGGGUGGGGACAAUUUGCUUAUUUAUUUAUUUGAGACAGUGACUUGCUCUGUCAUCCAGACUGGAGUACAGUGGCAUGUUCUUGGCUCACUGCAACCUCCGCCUCCCAGGUUCAAGCAAUUCUUGUGUCUCAGCCUCCCAGUAGCUGGAACUACAGGCAUCUACCAUCAUGCCUGGCUAAUUUUUGUAUUUUUAGUAGGAACGAGGCUUUACCAUGUUGGCCAGGAUGGUCUGGAACUCCUGACCUCAAGUGAUCUGCCCACUUCCACCUCCCAAAAUGCUGGGAUUACAGGUGUGAGUCACCUUGCAUGGCCUUCCUCACAUAUUUACACACCCCUGCUCUUUUUGGGGGCCAGGCACCAAUGGCAAAUGAGAUGGGCAUGCAGGGGGCUUGCUAGUAAGAGCUCCCACCAGCAGCUCAGUCCUAAGCAACUUUGGAGCUGACCCAUGGACUUACGAAGCUGCUUGCACAAGGUUCUCAGUGGCCCUAAGGAAGAGUUUUGGAAGGCGCACUGGAAGCUGAGAGGCCUGUGGAGCCUGUCAGAAAGGACCAGAUUUGGAAAGAAGGUGAGCUAAGGCCCAAGUGUCAGUGUUCCCCUAGAAAUUUCUCAAAGACGAAACACAGAGAACUAGAAAAAGCGACUGAAGACUGGGUGUGGUGGCUCACGCCUGUAAUCCCAGCACUUUGGAAGGCCAAGACGGGUAGAUCACCUGAGGUCAGGAGUUUGAGACCAAUCUGGACAACAUAGUGAAACCCCAUCUCUACUAUAAAUACAAAAAUUAGCCGGGCAUGGAACAAGGUGCCUGUAAUUCCAGCUACUCAGGAGGAUGAGGCAGGAGAGUCACUUGAACCCAGGAGGCGAAGGUUGCAGUGAAAUGAGAUCGUGCCAUUGCACUCCAGCCUGGGCAACAGAGCGAUACCCUGUCUCAAAAAAUAAAUAAGGAAAAAAAGAAUAAAGAAAAAGCAAUUGAACAAGAUCACUACUCUAAAAUUAUUUACUGAAUAUUCUACGCGUGUCCAGGAAGUAACUGAGACUUGUGUAUUUGGAAAUGAGACUUCUGAGCCAAUCAGAUGCAGAUGAAAAAUUAGUUGCUUUACUGUUAUUUGCUUACCUGAGUGAAUUGGCCCUUAAUGUUGUAAAUAUUUCAUUUGCUAACGAAGUUUCAAGGUAGCAGAAAAGAUGCUUGACUUGAAGAAUUUGAGGAGAGGGAAGACUCAUUGAUUUGCAUUAUCAGUCAGUCCCCAAUUACCUUGGCAUGAUCAGUCCCAUAAUUUGUGUUACUCAUUUUUAACCAGAACUGUCUGAGUGUAUCAGAGCACAGUUGGGAAAAUGGGCUCUUAAUGUAGUUCAGCCUCCUUUAGGGGCCUAAUGAAGGCAGACUUAUAAAUACUUCUUAAUUAUCCUUCAGCUGAAUUAGCAGGAGUUGCUCUUAGCCCCUGUUCCAAAAUGCAGUCAAUUCUUCACCAGUUCACUUGUCCAUCCUUCUUGGGCAUUGGGGCUUGAAAGGAAAGUGCUGGAGGUGAGAUGUGGAGAAUUAGCUCUUUCCUUGCAUGUCAUAGAUCCUCUGCAAAGUAAGUGUGCCUAGAACUCUGUUCCCACCUCUGCAGGCUCCACACACUCAAGUUUGGAGACCCCAGCCCCAGUUUGUGGAACCUUUUGCAGUACAUCAUGUCCCACUUUGAAACACAAGCAUUUGUGAGGAUGACACAAGAGUGGUGGCUGCCUAACUGAUAUGGUGUAUGUUCUGUAGCAACUGGAAAGCAUUUGAAAAGGCAAUUUUGUAAUGUUAUAUUUUGGAGCUAGUAAAUUUUGUUUUCAUCUCAGUCAUUUCUGAGGGGCCUGAGAGUUAAAGAGCCUGGAUGCUGCAUCUGUGAGGCCCAGUGAACACUGGGCCCUGGGCGCUUAGGAGGGAGGGAAGGGGAUGCUGGAAGCAGUGAGGUGGUGCCUGGAGGCUACCUUGCUAUGAGACUGGCAGGGGCCAAGCUCUGGAGCAGCUUCUGGCCCUCUCUGCUCCUCCUGGCUUCACACUGGGGUGAUUCUCAUUUUUCCUGGGGCCCAGACAGCAGACCAGCCCUCAUGCUGGUGGGCAGUGAGAGGAGGAGGGCCCAGACAUGGGUGCUGCCCAUAGGGUAGAGGCCUAGGUGCUUCCACUAGAGGUGGGAGUCUCUUACCUUUUACUUUCAGCCCCUACCCUCCUCCCUCCUCUUUGCUUCUGAGUGCAAACCCCUGCAGGAGAAAUGGAACUGUCUCAGGUCAUCUUUACAAGACAGCUACUGUAGAUCACAGGUCAUACAUUAGCCAGUCGCUGGGCUGCCCUGGGGGCAGGUGGGCCCCAUGGCCUGAGCAGCAUUUGCCUGGUGAAGGCCAGCCAGAGUGGCUCAGUUCAUCCUUCAUGGCCCCUUCCCAGGGGAGCCGCACAAGGACCCGUGACAGAACAGCUGACUUGUGAAGGAAUCUUCUAGACUACCAUUUCCCCGUCACAUUUCCUCCUCUCUGCCUCCAGUAAAUGUGUCCCAGUGUUAUGACCCUAUUGACUGUCUUGUCACGAUGUUGACCAAGGGGUUUGGCAGAGGCCACCUGGGUUCACAGUGCUCAGUGGGAAAGACACCUGAAAAAUUAUCCUUCCCAGCGGCCUCUCACCUUUAAUCUCCUCUGCAGCGCCCCAUCACAGGUUGGGACCUUGGAACAGGCUCAGGCGCUGUCAUCGCAGUCAGUGAGCAGUGACUAAUUAAGACACAGCUCCAUUAGUCACAUUGGAGGUGACAACUGAGCAGCAUGUUUCUGAUUCGUGUCUGGGAGAUCCUGACACACUUUCCAAUUAUGUGGAACUAAUAGUGCGUGGCUUCCACGUGGCCAUGUGGGGUGGGAGAGCAGGGGGAGCCUGCAAUGAAAGCAUGACUUUCUGUGGGCAGCGCCAGUUUAGUUCCCAGCUCACCUACUCCUGACUUCUUUGCCCUUUCAGUUGAAAAUCACAAAAGGUGACACCAGGGGAAUGGCAUCAGGGGUGCCCGAGGACCGCUUUCAGAAGCCUUUUGUUGUCCACCACUGUUCCCAGGGGAAUUAGGAGGAUAUUCAGAGAGGAGCUGGUGACAUAGAAGCCGGUCCUUUCCCCAGGUACAGAAGAAAAGUCCAGCAUCGCCAGCCUCAGAGCACACUCUUGUCUUCCCUCACAGAGGCCCGUUAGGGCCACGGGAGAACCACAGAGACCCAGAGAAUCAGGACAUUGCAGCCAGAAGGAAAACAGGGCAGCCCAACCAAACUAGAGAAUGCUGCUAAAAUAGCUAACCUUUUUGUUUCCCCUAGGACAUUAACACAAGAAUUUUAUGA